rnacentral:lncRNA from 1 species
GUCGUGAGAGGGACAUCUCAGAGCUAUCAGGUCAAGUGUAAUAAACUGCCAACUCAUCUCACUCUCCUGCUGGACUUGAAGAAGCCAGCUGCGUGUUGUGACUGCCUAUGGAGGGCUCGUGGCAAGGAACUGCUGUGGCCUUUAGCAAUGGACAGAAGCCUCCAGCUGGUUGCCAGAGAGCAAUGUGAAACUCUCAGCCCACAACCACAAGCAAACAAAUUCUUCUAACAACCUGAGGGAUCUUAGAAGCAGAUUGUUCCCCUGUCAAGCCUCUAGAUGAGAACACAGACUGCCUGUCACCUUGACUACAGCCUAUGACCCUGAGCAGGGAUCCUGUUAGAUCCUAAUGCCCAGACCCCUAAUGCCCAGAAACUGGGAGAUAAUAAAUGUAUGUUGUUUAAAG